AGCGAACGCUGGCGGCAGGCUUAACACAUGCAAGUCGAGCGGGCGCAGCAAUACGUCAGCGGCAGACGGGUGAGUAACGCGUGGGAACGUACCUUUUGGUUCGGAACAACACAGGGAAACUUGUGCUAAUACCGGAUAAGCCCUCACGGGGAAAGAUUUAUCGCCGAAAGAUCGGCCCGCGUCUGAUUAGCUAGUUGGUGAGGUAAUGGCUCACCAAGGCGACGAUCAGUAGCUGGUCUGAGAGGAUGAUCAGCCACAUUGGGACUGAGACACGGCCCAAACUCCUACGGGAGGCAGCAGUGGGGAAUAUUGGACAAUGGGGGCAACCCUGAUCCAGCCAUGCCGCGUGAGUGAUGAAGGCCCUAGGGUUGUAAAGCUCUUUUGUGCGGGAAGAUAAUGACGGUACCGCAAGAGUAAGCCCCGGCUAACUUCGUGCCAGCCGCCGCCGCAG
rnacentral:rRNA from 1 species